UUGUAAUACUGCUUUUUAUUAGAAUAUCAUCUUUUCAUAACACAAUAUAACACUGUGUAUGGGUUUCAGUUCACACAGAGCCAGUCAGGGAUGCAAAUGAAUGCCUCAACUAAAAGCAGAAGUUGUUCAUUUCAAGGCUGUGAGUGACAGACUCCACUAAACAGGGGAAACAACAACUUCUCGUAUUAGGAUGCGUUGUGGUUGAAUUACAGUGGCACUUCUCUGUCAAGUCAGACUCGUCCCAGGAGAACAAGUGCAGCAAUGGCAGAGGAGGUUAACUACGCCUCUGUUGUAUUCAAAGCCAAAAACAAUCCCCCACCUGAAGCUAAAAAGGAAGAGGACACUGUGUACGAUGAAGUGAAGGUGGAAAGUAAAAAAUCCCAAGAAACUGCGGACACAAAUGAAAGUGAUAAAAAUACCAAGCAAGCAGAGGAGAACCACGCAGGAUUCCUCCCAGAUAAGAAAGCAAACAACAGGCGUUGUCACCAAGUGGCUUUUUUUUUGGGCUUUCUUUGUGCCAUUUUGUUGGCAGGCAUCAUAGUGGUGGUCUCUGUCUACAUUGCUACAUUAAGUGAAGAGAGUGAAACAAAUGAGCUGAACCAGUUAAAAGUCAACCAAACAGCGAUACUGGCUGACAAUCGCAACCUGACAAACCUCAACAACAGGCUCAUGUCAGACAAUGAAAACCUGAGGAAAGACAACAAGAAUCUCACAGUCCAGUUUGACAACCUGACAAAAGCCUAUGCUGUCUUAGAAAACAAGAUGACAGAGCUGACAUCACAAAACCUUAACCUGACAGCACGAAACCAGGAGCUGGAGACACAAAACCUUAACCUGACAACACGAAACCAGAAGCUGGAGAAAGAGAGGAACAACUUAACACAAGAAAUACAAAACAUUCAGACAGAGUGGAAUGAGCUCAACGUCACUCGAGCUCAGUGGAGCAUUGAUGCCUACUGCACCAAAGAAAAUAACGGAAGACAGUGUAAAGCUUGUCAGAAGGGAUGGCUGGAAGAAAAGUCCAGAUGCUAUGCCAUUAAUGACCGUGAUCCUGCAGGUCAGAGAAACUGGGAAGGAGCUCGAGAAGACUGCAGAGGAAAGAUUUCAGAUUUGGCUGUUGUAGUUAAUGAACAGGAGAAGACGUACAUCAGUAAUAAUAUUUGGGGCAGCAUUGGAUUCUGGAUCGGCCUGAGAGCUGAAGAUGGGAGAUGGAAGUGGGUGGAUGGACGUAAUCUGACUGAAAGCUCCUGGAUACAACAACCUGCUGACAACGGUCAAUGUGUAAUUUCUGUCUAUAACCAAGGAUGGAAAUCAGUGAGCUGUAGUGACACAAACCGAUGGAUCUGUGAAAAGGCAGCUUUAUCUGUUUAAACACUGCAGACAAACUAGAGGUUACUGAAUCAUCUGUUAAGAUUAAUUAUAAAUAGGAUAAUGUCAGUUGGAUUAUAAAUAUAUAAUUAUGAAGAUUUCUAAUCACAAAUUGUGUUUUUGAAAAACAAAAUUUGAAAAUUUAAAGAAUUUUAUUUUUCUCAGAAAAAAGGUAAAAAAAAUGAAUGAUUUUUCAAAGCUGUUUGUGAAUGUGCUUUGUGUGUGUGUGUGUGUGUGUGUGUGUGUGUGUGUGUGUGUGUGUGUGUGUUAGAUAUUAGAUUAUAUAGGUACUGAGUCUGACUGCUGACACCAGCAUCAUUAAUGACUUUCAAUGUGCUUUUCUUCCACUCUGUUAGAGAUGCAGUGCUUGCAAUGUGUAUGUUAGUAGAUUGAUGAAAGGGACCAACAACACAUGGACAUUUUCCAUUAUUGCUGCUGAUUGGCCAGCAGAGGGAGCUGUGUUACCUCUC